rnacentral:rRNA from 1 species
CAAGUCGAACGGCAGCAUGGGGCAACCCUGAUGGCGAGUGGCGAACGGGUGAGUAAUAUAUCGGAACGUACCCGAGAGUGGGGGACAACCAGUCGAAAGAUUGGCUAAUACCGCAUACGAUCUACGGAUGAAAGUGGGGGACCUUCGGGCCUCACGCUCCUGGAGCGGCCGAUAGCUGAUUAGCUAGUUGGUGGGGUAACGGCCUACCAAGUCGACGAUCGGUAGCCGGACUGAGAGGUCGAACGGCCACAUUGGGACUGAGACACGGCCCAGACUCC